rnacentral:misc_RNA from 1 species
GAUGAAGAACGUAGCAAAAUGCGAUAAGUAAUGUGAAUUGCAGAAUUCAGUGAAUCAUCGAAUCUUUGAACGCACAUUGCGCCCGCUGGUAUUCCGGCGGGCAUGCCUGUUCGAGCGUCAUUUCAACCCUCAAGCCCCCGGGUUUGGUGUUGGGGAUCGGCUCUGCCUUCUGGCGGUGCCGCCCCCGAAAUACAUUGGCGGUCUCGCUGCAGCUUCCAUUGCGUAGUAGCUAACACCUCGCAACUGGAACGCGGCGCGGCCAUGCCGUAAAACCCCAACUUCUGAAUGUUGACCUCGGAUCAGGUAGGAAUACCCGCUGAACUUAAGCAUAUCAAUAAGCGGAGGA